UCCGGUAGCAGAAGAAAGGUUCAGAAGCAGAUGAGAAGCCAUUCAGCAAAGUCUACUUUUUCCACCGCUUAAUCAAUUAUCACGUCAUUACCGGAGCACAGCACGGAAACGAGUAGCCGGGGGUUCUGAGUCACUAAGCUUUGUCGUCCUUCCUUGGCCAACGAUUAUUGGCCCUGUUUUCCGAAUCAUUAGCGAGCUGCACCGGGGACUACGAGUGAGUACAGAGAUGUUGAGAUGCUUCUGGCCUCACGCAAAAGAAGUAGAGCUAAAGUUAAUCUACUACACGUCACACAAAUGCCAUCUAAUGCUUAUCCCGGGCUUAUCAUUUUAUCUUGUCAUAAAACAUCAAGUCUCUCCGUACUGGCCAUGUUCCUAUCAUUUCAAAUAUUCUUUUUUUUUAUAUCUAACCCACAAUUUAAGAACAAGUUAUGGAAAUAAAUUGAGAAAUGCAGUCACAUAUUCACUCUCCAAGCUAUUAACUGAUGCACAUCACGCUACAUCGCAGACCUGUUGUUUUCCCCAGUCCCGCCGACCAGAUGACUCAUCGAAAGUCAUCGAGAUUACGUCAUGGCUAAACUCUGAACGACGGUCGGCAUAAGCCACAUUUCGCUGGUGAUGGUGACGAAUACCGACAAAGAUUACUAACCAUUUAGGGAUUCGAUCUUAUGAGUAAGAACCAUUCACACUGCUAACAGGGCAUCAUUCCCCGGAAACAAUGGACCCCCCCCAAGACGGUUCUAAAGAUAGCUAGUGUUUCACAUAUUUGCUGCUGACCGAUUACGGUAGACGCCACCAUCGAUGGGGUGGUUGUGCUGAAGGAGAGCAAAUGAACGAGACACGGCACCAUCUCCUAUCGAAGGAUCAGAGUUCGGGCGUUGAUCUGUAAUCUUGAAAGGAAUGCAAUCGACCGGUGCACGAGAUUCCUUCUUUUAGCACGCGCCCAACAAUCACAUAGCAGUAUCCUGUCGCAUCACGUACCGAAUUAGAAUCUAAAUCAACUGUUAGUGAUCCGCUCUUCCAAUGAUUUGUCAUCGAAACGGUUGUGUGCUAGAUGUCAUUACUAACCCACCCUUGUUUGAUAUGCAGCAACGCAGGCAAAACAGUUAGCAACAAUCGGAGUGUAUCAACACAAGGUCACAGGUCCCACAAGACCAAAAUCCCAGACGUCAGCCAACAAACACACACACGCACCACACACUCUCGUCUCUUUUUCGUGAGCCGGUAUUUGCGACUCGCUGCACAUCGUUUCUGUAGCUGAAGGACGGGUCGCCGCGCUUUUUUCGCUUUUUAUCGCACCCCACAGGGCGCGGUCCACGACUGGAUCCAGUCAAACGACUCACAUCAACCCGACCGCAGCGUUCCGCACGUCCCGUGUGUGUGCUAAAGCACACAAUCGUAAACUCACCAAAACACACACAGAUACAGUGAAACCGUGGCUUAACGUCGAAAAUAUCAUGGACAUUAUGCGAAUCCGCAUAGAGAACCUACAAAGUAACAGGACAGACCGGAGAAGAGUUCCGAGAUUCACAUCACAUUCGCCUCAUCCAUAUCGUAUCGACAGUCGGCGUCGUCGUUGACAAAUAUUCAUUUUGCAGGAAUGCGAGAGGCAGGAUGAAGCAACACAAAGCAUCCGCUUCUUUCCGGAUGUUUGUCCAACUUUACUCCAGAGACUCUGCGCUUCAGUUGGACCAAUUGGAGAAAGUAUAUUCCACUUGUGCCUGGAGAAUACAAUAACGGAAGUAACAUGGCGAAUAUCUCAGGCGGGAGUCGUCCACAAUUCAAUACAUUUGCUUUCUGCUACUUUUGGUAGUAAACUGUAAUAUGGGUGAAUUAAAAAAUUACAAAAUCAUUUCUCCAAAAAUGGAAAUGUACAUUCGUACGCGCUACACCGAUCAAAGCGAUCAAAAUAAUCGUAGAUAUGAGUUUAAGUUGUUUAGGUUAUUUUGUUUUCAUUAGUUCUUCUCUUUUAGCACGAGCAAGUCAAAACAUUUUCUGAUUAGCAAGCAUUGGCAUCACAGCACAGUAGCACACCUUCCACACCACACGACGAGGCACAAGGUCAAGUGUAACCUUCAUCUUCUUCCCAACACAACGUAUUGUUGCUGGAAACGCAACCUUCAUCACAACAGGGCCUGCUAGAGGCUUUGGGCUUUAUAGAUUCCAUUUGCGUGCUAAUGGAACAACUUCGCCAUUUCCCCUUUUCCUGCACCUCCUCGUCGUAAUCGACUACUUUGCACGUCGUCGCGACCAUCGAAGCAACACUGUUCCUCCACACGCCUAGCCGCACACAGCUAAUAGACGCCAACCAGAAAGAGGAGAAGAGGUGCCCCCAUCAUCGCAUGGCGAGCGCAGGGGUGGGGAUUAAUGGAUUGAUCAACUUCAUCAUGCCGAUCAGCGUCAUCAUUAUCAGCGUAGCCACGACCGGGCGA